GUUGAAGUUGAAAAUUCUGGAGUUACUUGCUAUAACCAUGAUGUGCAGACAUUGUAGAAAGAAUUGUAAAAACAUUGGCAUUGGAUGUUAGCAAGCAUUAUUGAACGUAACCCAGAGUUUUGCAGAAUAGUCCAAUAUGGACGUUCUUGUCUGGCGAUAGGGUUGGUUAUUGUGCAGAUUGCAAAGUGCAGUGCUUUAAUCGAAAAUGUUUCGGCAGCUUUGCUUUCAUUUUUCAUUUGGUGCUGCUGCUAUACCGACACUGACCGCACUCCGUCAGACAUUUCUGCAGAGUAAAGAGAGAGAGAGAGAGUCAAAGACAAAAUAAAAGAGAAAGACCUUUUCUAGAAAGUUUGGUCAGUCACAUCCUGACAGAAUGAGAGUGUGAAACGGCUCUCGGUAAAGUUCACCUCCGUCUGCUGCAGGAUAAAACGGAGAAACAACAAAUUAGGAAAAAACUACAAAAGAGCAAAGGACGAAAAAGAGAAUAAAGAAGACCUCAUAGCUGAGGAAGGAAACAUACUGAAGUAACUCACCUGAGAUACUCACUGGAUGUUUGAUUUUGUGACAUUUAAGUGCUUCCAGACUCAGCUCAAGCUUUACAUUUCAAUAGUACUGUACUUUCUUAAUUGUUGUUAGAGAACAAUUCAGAGGUGGAGGUAUUUUUUGUUCUUAUUCACAGGACCAUUAUUUCCUGAAGACCAAUGAAACAACCACAGAAGUCAGAAGUGUCCCUGAUCCCAGUGUAAUCUGCUGCAGUGAAAACAUCCUGGGUGUGAGUAAGAAGCAAUCACACAGCAGAAGGAGAGAUCACAAAUCCACCAAAUAAGCAAAUAUGGAAGGAACGUGACAUUGAGGACAUGAAUGGCUGCAUUUGAAACCACCGAGCUGAAGCCAUGACCAUGACCUCUGACCUCUGUGUGGGGGAGGGAAGAGAACAGAAGGAUCUCUCGGCUGAGAUCAAUAAAGAAACAUAUCAUUACAACAAAGCUUUAGUCAGAUUCAUGCUCUGAUACACAAAAGAAAAUGUGUCGUAGCUGAAACAUCUGAACAAUAAAACACAACAAAACCGAUUAAUCAUAACUUAAGUCAUCAGUUUGUAUUUUUCUUUAUAAAGUAAUAUCACUUGAUUCUCUGACAGUCAUUGAAUUAUUGAAUUGAGCUUAAUUGUACAUUAUCUGACAAUUUAUGACAUUUCCA